AAGGAAAGAGAGAGAGAGAGAGAGGGAGAGAUGUUUGGGCUUGUUAAAAUCCGGAGAUUAAGGCUAGGGGGCUCGAGUUUGUCCUGAGCAGGUUAGCAAAUUAACACAGAAUUAAAAUGCUUCACAUUCCUGCUUCAGAGCUGUGUGUGUGUGUGUGUGUGUGUGUGUGUGUUUAUAAUCUUUUUCACCAUUAGAGAUCAUCAUUUAUACAGAAAUAAAGUCCAGACAUAAGCGAACACGUGUGAGGAUUACGGAGUCGUAUCAUAUUCCGUGUUUGAUCCUUAAGUCUGGAUCUACACAAAAACGCUCGAGAUCCAACACAAAACACCGGAUUUGUGUGUUUUAUAUCCAUGUGUGGAUCUUGGGAAGUUCCUUUCUAGCAUGUUCUUGUACGUUCACACUGGUUUAUUUGUCAUUUGUAAGUUUGUCAGUGGGUUAACUGGGACGUGUUGAUCCCAAGUAAUGUCAGAAGGUCGGUGUUGGAUGGUGUGUGUCGCGGUAGGUCGGUGUUGGAUGGUGUGUGUCACGGUAGGUCGGUGUUGGAUGGUGUGUGUUGAAAAUAGAAAUUGGUGGGGUGUGUGUGUGUGUGUGUGUGUGUGGCUGUAUAGAGAAUGCUGAAGUGUAGUUGCUGGUCUGUUAAAUAAACAUGGGUGUGUUGAGGAAUCGUGUCAGUUUGACAUACAUCAGUGUGUGUUGGUGUAUUUUGGAGAACAUUGAUGUGUGUUGGAGAGUGUGUGUUGUGUGUCAGUUAAAGAGUAAAUUGAUAUCUCUGUGUGUGUGUGUGUGCGCGUGCCCUUUCCACUGAGCGAAAGUGAGUUGUGUAAAAGCUUGUUCUUCAUCUCGUGAGUGAAACUGGAAUGCACUUCAGCUCGGGAUUCGAAGCUGAUUAUCAAACCUCCUUCAUCUUCUGUGAAGAGACUCGACCCCUCGUUAACCUCAUUAACCUCGUUAACCUCCUCACGCUGCUUCCUGUUCCUCCUGCUCCGUGUCUCUCACUCUCGAGCUGUAAAUAAAGCGGGGACGUUGUGUCCUGACGUGUUAUAGGUUGUGUGUUACAGCUUCCUAAUACACAGUAGUUAAACGCAGGAAGAAGGCUGUAGGAGAGCUACUUCAGGAAAUGGGGUGACUUCCUGUUCCAGCACGAACAACUUCCUCUCUCCGGUUCAGCGUGGACUUGGGCCAGAUCCUCUUUUCACUUGGUGGUGUGCGCUUGCUUGUGUAAAUGUGCAUAAGGUUUUUUUUUUUUUUUUUUCUCCUCUUUCAGUCGCCAUUAGUGCGUCUGCGGUCAGGGAGAGGAGACGAGGCUGAGAGAGAGAGAGGAGACGAGGCUGAGAGAGGAGAGGAGAGAGAGAGAGAGAGAGAGAGAGACGAGGCGAGGCUGAGAGAGAGGAGACGAGGCUGAGAGAGAGAGAGAGAGAGAGAGAGAGAGAGACACGAGGCGAGGCUGAGAGAGAGGAGACGAGGCUGAGAGGAGAGAGAGAGAGAGAGAGAGAGAGAGAGAGAGAGACACGAGGCGAGGCUGAGAGAGAGAGAGAGGAGACGAGGCUGAGAGAGAGAGAGAGAGAGAGACGAGGCGAGGCUGAGAGAGAGGAGGCGAGGCUGAGAGAGAGGAGGCGAGGCUGAGAGAGAGGAGACGAGGCUGAGAGAGAGAGAGAGGAGACGAGGCUGAGAGAGAGAGAGAGAGAGAGAGAGACACGAGGCGAGGCUGAGAGAGAGGAGACGAGGCUGAGAGGAGAGAGAGAGAGAGAGAGAGAGAGAGAGAGAGACACGAGGCGAGGCUGAGAGAGAGAGAGAGGAGACGAGGCUGAGAGAGAGAGAGAGAGAGAGACGAGGCGAGGCUGAGAGAGAGGAGGCGAGGCUGAGAGAGAGGAGGCGAGGCUGAGAGAGAGGAGGCGAGGCUGAGAGAGAGGAGACGAGGCUGAGAGAGAGAGAGAGGAGACGAGGCUGAGAGAGAGAGAUGAGGCUGAGAGAGAGACGAGGCUGAGAGAGAGGAGACGAGGCUGAGAAAGAGGACAGAGAGAGAGAGGAGGCGAGGCUGAGAGAGAGGAGACGAGGCUGAGAGAGAGAGGGAUGAGGCUGAGAGAGAGGAGACGAGGCUGAGAGAGAGGAGACGAGGCUGAGAGAGGAGACGAGGCUGAGAGAGAGAUGAGGCUGAGAGAGAGAUGAGGCUGAGAGAGAGGAGACAAGGCUGAGAGAGAGAGAGGAGACGAGGCAGAGAGAGAGAUGAGGCUGAGAGAGAGAUGAGGCUGAGAGAGAGGAGACGAGGCUGAGAGAGAGUUAGAGACGAGGCUGAGAGAGAGAGAUUUAUCCAUUAACCUUCAACAGUGGUUCUCGCAGUGAUUACAUAUUUUAUGACCAUCACACCCGUAUGUGCUUGUUGAACAUCCUGUCCCAGAUAAAUUCCCUCUUUGCUGUUAUGACGCGCUCCACUCUGUCUUCUGCGAAGGCGUCCCACUAGAUUUUGGGGCGUGGCCGUGGGGAUCUGCGUCCGUUCAGCUACGAGAGCGUCAGUGAGGUCGAGGUCAGGUGCUGAUGUUGAUGUGACGAGACUCCGGUUCCAGUUCAUCCCGAAGGUGUUCAGCGGGGUUGAGGUCAGGACUCUGUGCAGGACGCUCCAGUUCUUCUACCUUCUUCCGACCUUCACACACCACGUCUUCACGGAGCUGGCUUCGUGCACAGGGGCGUCGUCGUGCUGGAGCAGUGUUCGGGGACUCUUAGUUCCGCUGAAGGGAAAUUAUAACGCUACAGCGUACAGAGACGCUCUACACGAUUGUGAGCUUCUGACUUUGCGGCUACAGUUUGGGGAAGAUCCAUUAACGGGUGUGAAGUUCAGGGGUGCAAAUAUUUUUGCCUGUAUUUAGUCUCUUAUGAGCAAUGAAUGAAGGAGCUUUGCACGUAUGUCUUCAGAAGUGGUUUUUUAAAAUUCUUUAUUUUUAGUUUGUUUAAUUAUGUACAGCGAGAAAACAAACCAAACCAGAUAUCAAACAGACUAAUAGGUGUGAACGUUCCUUCAGAGAAAGAGAAGGGGGAGGGGGGAGGGAGAGAUGGACAGAGAGGGACAGGGAUAGAUGGAGAGAGACAGAGAGAGGUAUAGAGAGCGAGAGAGAGGGAUGAGCAGAAAGAGGGAUGGAGAGAGAGAGGGAGAUAUGGACAGAGAGGGACAGAGAGAGAGGUAGAGAGAGAGCACGCGCAAGAGAGAAGUUGAAAAUAAAUGUGACCUUAAAUGAACCCAAAUAAACAUGGCCAUGCCA